rnacentral:rRNA from 1 species
AACGAACGCUGGCGGCAUGCCUAACACAUGCAAGUCGAACGAGACCUUCGGGUCUAGUGGCGCACGGGUGCGUAACGCGUGGGAACCUGCCCUUAGGUUCGGAAUAACUCCCCGAAAGGGGUGCUAAUACCGGAUAAUGUCUUCGGACCAAAGAUUUAUCGCCUUUGGAUGGGCCCGCGUUGGAUUAGCUAGUUGGUAGGGUAAAAGCCUACCAAGGCGACGAUCCAUAGCUGGUCUGAGAGGAUGAUCAGCCACACUGGGACUGAGACACGGCCCUGACUCCUACGGGAGGCAGCAGUGGGGAAUAUUGGACAAUGGGCGAAAGCCUGAUCCAGCAAUGCCGCGUGAGUGAUGAAGGCCUUAGGGUUGUAAAGCUCUUUUACCCGGGAUGAUAAUGACAGUACCGGGAGAAUAAGCUCCGGCUAACUCCGUGC